rnacentral:rRNA from 1 species
CAAAACAUGGCUUCUCGUCUUUAGUCUAUGUGAAGUCGUACCUGCCCAGUGAAAUUUUAACGGCCGCGGUACUCUGACCGUGCAAAGGUAGCAUAAUAAUUUGCCUUAUAAUUGAAGGCUGGAAUGAAUGGUUUGUCAAGGGUAAAGCUGUCUCUAUAAAAUUUUAUAGAAUUUUAUUUUUAGGUGAAAAAGCCUAAAUUACAUUAAAAGACAAGAAGACCCUAUCGAGCUUUAAAGAACUUAAUAAAUACUUAUAACUAAUUAGAAAUUUAAUUAUAAAAAAUUUUGGUUGGGGCAACCUAGGAGUAAAUAAAGCCUCCUUUUUUAAAAAGACCUUUAUGUUAUGAUCCAAAAAGUUUGAUUAAAAGAAAUAGUUACCGUAGGGAUAACAGCAUUAUUUUUUUUGAGAGUUCUUAUCGAAAAAAAAGUUUGUGACCUCGAUGUUGGACCAGAAUAUCCUGAAGAUGUAGAAGUCUUCAAGGGUUGGUCUGUUCGACCAUUAAAAUUCUACGUGAUC